UAUACGGAGAGUUUGAUUCUGGCUCAGAACGAACGCUGGCGGCGUGGAUAAGACAUGCAAGUGGAACGCUGGUUGCCGGGUAGCAAUAUUCGGCAAUUGGAGUCGCGUAAGGGUGCGUAACACAUGGGUAAUCUACCGUUAAGUCUGGAAUAACUCGCUGAAAGGCGAGCUAAUGUCGGAUGUGUUUGCAGGAAGAUCUCUUCCGGCAAAUAAAGUUGGGGACCGCAAGGCCUGACGCUUGACGAUGAGCCCGUGGCCUAUCAGCUAGUUGGUGGGGUAAUGGCCCACCAAGGCCGAGACGGGUAGCUGGUCUGAGAGGACGACCAGCCACACUGGAACUGAGACACGGUCCAGACACCUACGGGUGGCAGCAGUCGAGAAUCUUUCACAAUGGGCGCAAGCCUGAUGGAGCGACGCCGCGUGGGGGAUGAAUGGCUUCGGCCCUUAAACCCCUGUCAUUUGCGAUCAAACCUCGCGACCUAAUACGCCGCGAGUUGAUAGUAGCGAAAGAGGAAGGGACGGCUAACUCUGUGCCAGCAGCCGCGGUAAUACAGAGGUCCCAAGCGUUGUUCGAAUUCACUGGGCGUAAAGGGUGCGUAGGCGGUCGGGUAAGUCUGACGUGAAAUGCCGGAGCUCAACUCCGGAACGGCGUUGGAAACUAUUCGGCUUGAGGAUUGGAGGGGGGACUGGAAUUCUCGGUGUAGCAGUGAAAUGCGUAGAUAUCGAGAGGAACACCCGUGGCGAAGGCGAGUCCCUGGACAAUUCCUGACGCUGAGGCACGAAAGCUAGGGGAGCAAACAGGAUUAGAUACCCUGGUAGUCCUAGCCCUAAACGGUGCAUGUUUGCUGUGGGCGGAAUCGACCCCGUCCGUGGCGAAGCUAACGCAUUAAACAUGCCGCCUGGGAAGUACGGCCGCAAGGCUAAAACUCAAAGAAAUUGACGGGGGCCUGCACAAGCGGUGGAGUAUGUGGCUCAAUUCGAUGCAACGCGAAGAACCUUACCUGGCCUUGACAUGCAAGUAGUAGAAUCCUGAAAGGGAGACGAGUGUAGCAAUACACAGCUUGCACAGGUGCUGCAUGGCUGUCGUCAGCUCGUGUCGUGAGAUGUUGGGUUAAGUCCCGCAACGAGCGCAACCCCUGUGUCCUGUUGCCACCCCUUGAUUGGGAGCACUCUGGACAGACUGCCUCGCUUAAACGAGGAGGAAGGUGGGGAUGACGUCAAGUCAGUAUGGCCCUUACGGCCAGGGCUGCACACGUACUACAAUGCCCGGCACAACGGGAAGCAAAGCCGUCAGGCAGAGCAAAUCCCCCAAAACCGGGCUCAGUUCAGAUUGUCGUCUGCAACUCGACGGCAUGAAGCUGGAAUCGCUAGUAAUGGCGCAUCAGCUACGGCGCCGUGAAUACGUUCCCAGGCCUUGUACACACCGCCCGUCACAUCAUGAAAGCCGGUUGUACCCGAAGUCGCUUUUCCGCGCCGAAGGUAUGGCUGGUGAUUGGGAUGAAGUCGUAACAAGGUAGCCGUAGGGGAACCUGCGGCUGGAUCACCUCCUUU
rnacentral:rRNA from 1 species